GGACGUCAUUCUACUGCGGGGAUGGGACUGCCUGAGAGGAUGUCAUUCUACUGCGGGGAUGGGACUGCCUGAGAGGACGUCAUUCUACUGCGGGGAUGGGACUGCCUGAGAGGACGUCAUUCUACUGCGGGGAUGGGACUGCCUGAGAGGAUGUCAUUCUACUGCGGGGAUGGGACUGCCUGAGAGGACGUCAUUCUACUGCGGGGAUGGGCAAGUCCUUGGGGGCCUGAUUGGUGUCACACAUUUACUCCAGCCUUAGCUAACACACCUGACUCCAAUAAUCAACUAAUCAUGAUCAUCAAUUUAAAAUGUAAUUAGUUUAAUCAGCUGUGUUUGCUAGACGGGGAGAAAGUGUGACACCACUCUGGCCCCUGAGGACUUUGAGUUCCCUAUCCACGUUCUACUGGCACAACUCUCCUACUGUAGCUAGGCUAUAGGGCCCGACCAGCACAGUUAGGGUCUGUUCUCUUAAUCACACUGAAACAUAAGGCAUCACACUGCACCAUCUAUCUGAAGAUGAUUUGCCGUUGUCUAGCCUAUAUGGCUACCACAGUACACACAAAUAGAAUAACAUUUUUGGUUGAUUUAAUAUGCCCAUGAAAUUCUCUUCCACAGGAACAACUAGUACCAUUAGCGGUGUGCACAUUAGGUCUAUCUCACAUUAUUGUGAAUGGGUCUCUGUCUGUAGUGAUGCACUCUAACGGGUUCCUCUGCAUUCCUUCAGUGUGUGAUGGAAAUCCUCUAUGGGACAGCAACCUUAAUCUUGAUUUCUUGAUUCUUUUAUUGUAUUGUGUUGCA